rnacentral:rRNA from 1 species
AUGUUCAAGUGCCGCUUCACUAUCAGGGUGUGGAACUUCAUUUUCGGUUGGCUGGGUUGGCAAUCGGCGACCCCAUCCCGGUGUGACCUUCGGACGGUGAACCAAUGGUGGAUUUCGAGCGAGGGCCAACUAGGUUACUCUCGGAAGGUGAUCCACUCUUUGCAAAUGCUCAUCUACUCGGAGAUUUGGAACGAAAGGAAUGCUAGGGUCUUUUGCAACAAGUAUUCCCCGCCUUCGCGGGUAGCGGCGACGAUUAGAGAAGAGGCAAAGACUUGGGUGAUAGCAGGGGCAAUAUUUUUGGGAAUUAUUUUACCGGGAGAGUAA